rnacentral:rRNA from 1 species
GACGAACGCUGGCGGCGUGCUUAACACAUGCAAGUGGAGCGACGAAACCGGGCUUGCCCGGUGGCAGAGCCGCGAACGGGUGAGUAACACGUGGGUAACCUGCCCCGAUGAUAGGGACAACUCCGGGAAACCGGAGCUAAUACCAAAUGUGUUCACAUUCCUGAAGGGGUGUGAGGAAAGGAAGCUUCGGCCUCCGCAUCGGGAUGGGCCCGCGGCCCAUUAGCUUGUUGGUGGGGUAACGGCCUACCAAGGCGACGAUGGGUAGCUGGUCUGAGAGGACGGUCAGCCACACUGGGACUGAGACACGGCCCAGACUCCUACGGGAGGCAGCAGUGGGGAAUCUUGCGCAAUGCGCGAAAGCGUGACGCAGCAACGCCGCGUGCGGGAAGACGGCCUUCGGGUUGUAAACCGCUUUCAGUUGGGACGAAGCUUCGCCGGUGAAUAGCCGGCUGGAGUGACGGUACCUUCACAAGAAGCACCGGCUAACUACGUGCCAGCCGCCGCGGUAA